CCGCGUAUUCUACCGCAGUGCAUUCGUCGCUGCGUUCGUGCCUGUUAUGUGCGCUGCAACCUCGCCUUUGAAAGGACGACAACCUUGCUUUCUAAUUACAAGUUUAAUGUUUGCUUAAGACGAUGGACACAUUGCAAAUGGCGGCAGGAGUGGAUCGGCUACAUCGGUGAAGCGACGAUUUAUAUUACAAGAGAGGCUAAUUGUAUUCUUUCGUUACAGGUGAACGUGGGACUGUAUCGACUGCAAGGACGUGAGUUACAAAAAGCUGUAAUAUUCUAGCAUUAACGUUUGAACAAUACCAGCGUGAUGUUCACUUCGGUUUCUUUACAGGUAGUGUCCUGUCUCAACGGUCACGCAUAUGCGUGCAAAACUGCAACUGCUUCUCACAUCGAAGAGGGGUCUGGUGCCACAUGCUCGGACAAUUAUUCGUCGGCCAUUUCGUUUGGGGAACUGUCGUGUUCGUCACUAAGGAUGGCCUUGGUUGAGCUUUGCAGUGCCAGCCUGGUGCAUCGGAGGGGUUGUGUCCAUGCAACGUGUGCUUCAUAUGUGUGUGUUGGGAUUAGUGAACCGUGUAUGCUUUCCAUUCAGCCAACGAUGAUGUACUGGAUGAAAUUUAAAGAGCAUUCAAGAAAACCUGUGAAGCGAAAAAGCCGCUGCUCCUUGCUCGCUCUUUCGCUGCUCCUUGAGGGCACAUUAAGCUUUGGCACACUUUGAUAUACUGAAUUAUGUAUGAGUAAUUCAACUCCUCAUUUAUUGGACUGCGUACAUGUACAUAGAUUCACAGUUUCUGGCUGCUGGCAUUUGUGAGAACUAUAGCAUCUAUCUCUCAAGUAGCACAUGUAUUACUUGACAACACCUUUUUGAAGGGUGUAAUAUUACCAGGGGUGUUAAAUUACACCCUAA